AUUUUUCUUUUUUUUUAGGGUAUGAUUAAUUAAACAUCUGUAUCCUAGUUUAUAAAUAUUCUUGUAACCUUGGUUUUCCAGGAAAGAUCUGAUUAGAAAUCAGCUGUUUCUUAUAGAAGAUCAAUUGUUUCAUAGAAGCUGAGAGAGAGAGUCAGAGAGUUAUGAAAACUCCUCUCAUGACAGUGGAAGUGGUAAUGGGUUGUGCCUUUGCCUAGAUCAGAAGACAAACUAGGUCCAAAUGCUUGACCUGCUGCACAAGGCCUGGGAAGAGCCUGGGAAGAGCCUGGGAAGAGCCUGGGAAGAGCCUGGGAAGAGCUGAGCAGCUGAGUGGCCGGGCCAGGGUGAGGUACUGACACAAUCAUUGGAAGCCUUCAGCUCCCUCUGCAGAGGCAGUGCAAAGUGACUUAAUCUUGAGGGGCCCCAAGUGCGUGUCUCCUGCCAGGAAUUGCCUCCUUGUCUCCCACUUUCCUAGUCUUUCUCUUUCCAAACUAUGGUUUUCAAUCCUUACCCCAACUUUAUCACUGAGAAAAAUUCACUUAUCUUGUUGGAAAGAGAAAGGGGGCAUAAAACAAAGGUGUAUUUUUGAAGGAGUGUACACUAGAUUGCAUUGUGCCUUUUUUCUGGUUGUGUCACAGGUUCUGUACCUUCUCUCUGCUCCUUUCACCCUCCUGCUCAGCCACCUCAGUUGAGACUGGCUCCCAGCGGAGCAUGCAACUUCUUCCUGUCAAAACUAGGCCUAGAAAGAAGGCCUGGUAAAGCCAUCCAUGCUGAGGUAAAACAAAAUGCUCAAAAUUACCAUCUGGACCAAAAUCUGUGAUACUUGCUUUGGAAGGAUUCUAGGUUCUUCUCAAAUGAAUCAUUGCUAAAAGACAAGCAAUGGAAGAGGACGUAGGCUCAACCCACUCCGUGAGGUGAAGAAAGAACAAAAUGGUGGGAUGUUGAAGGAAGGAGGCUGCUGGAAGGUCAGAAUUUGAAUAAGAAUUGGAAGAAAUAUUCUCUCAUCCCUCUGUUGUUCAAGUGAUCUCACUUGGUCCUAAGAAGUGAAACCUCCAGGGUCUGGUAAAAUUUUGAAGCUUUCUGAAAGGUUGCUCAAAAAGAUAAGAAAAAAGGCAAGAGCCAUUGUUGGACAGACAAAGUGACAUACAUACACUGUGAUAUUAAAUCACGGACAAGAAGAUCCUCCAUGAUUAUAAUCUAGCUUCCAGUCCAGAGGCCAGUCCAGCCCAAUAUUUUG
rnacentral:lncRNA from 1 species